rnacentral:rRNA from 1 species
UACGUAGGGUGCAAGCGUUAAUCGGAAUUACUGGGCGUAAAGGGCGCGUAGGCGGUCUUGUAAGUCUUGUGUGAAAUCCCUCGGCUCAACUGAGGAACUGCACGGGAUACUGCGAGACUUGAGUUCGGGAGAGGGAAGCGGAAUUCCGGGUGUAGCGGUGAAAUGCGUAGAUAUCAGGAGGAACACCGGUGGCGAAGGCGGAUCUCUGGGCCAUUACUGACGCUGAGGAGCGAAAGCGUGGGGAGCGAACAGG